rnacentral:rRNA from 1 species
AUUGAACGCUGGCGGCAGGCCUAACACAUGCAAGUCGAGCGGUAACAUAGGGAGCUUGCUCCCGGGUGACGAACGGCGGACGGGUGAGUAAUGUCUGGGAAACUGCCUGAUGGAGGGGGAUAACUACUGGAAACGGUAGCUAAUACCGCAUAACGUCGCAAGACCAAAGAGGGGGACCUUCGGGCCUCUUGCCAUCAGAUGUGCCCAGAUGGGAUUAGCUAGUAGGUGGGGUAAUGGCUCACCUAGGCGACGAUCCCUAGCUGGUCUGAGAGGAUGACCAGCCACACUGGAACUGAGACACGGUCCAGACUCCUACGGGAGGCAGCAGUGGGGAAUAUUGCACAAUGGGCGCAAGCCUGAUGCAGCCAUGCCGCGUGUAUGAAGAAGGCCUUCGGGUUGUAAAGUACUUUCAGCGGGGAGGGAGGUGUUGAGGUUAAUAACCUCAGCAAUUGACGUUACCCGCAGAAGAAGCACCGGCUAACUCCGUGCCAGCAGCCGCCGCCG